UGAGAGGUAGCUCAGUGGUGCAGUGAUUGCCUAACAUGCAUGAGGCCCUGGGUUCUGUCCCCAGCAUCGCAG
rnacentral:tRNA from 1 species